rnacentral:rRNA from 1 species
UACGAAGGGGGCUAGCGUUGUUCGGAAUUACUGGGCGUAAAGCGCACGUAGGCGGAUUGUUUAGUGAGGGGUGAAAUCCCAGGGCUCAACCCUGGAACUGCCUCUCAUACUGGCAAUCUCGAGUUCGAGAGAGGUGAGUGGAAUUCCAAGUGUAGAGGUGAAAUUCGUAGAUAUUCGGAGGAACACCAGUGGCGAAGGCGGCUCACUGGCUCGAUACUGACGCUGAGGUGCGAAAGCGUGGGGAGCAAACAGGAUUAGAUACCCU